rnacentral:lncRNA from 12 species
GUUUAAAACCCCUUUUAAUCUUUGUUUUUCUUCUCCUCAUUGAGCUGCUCAUGCUCAGCCCCCUCAGGUGUGAGGUAUUAUAAAUAAGAUAGGGUGAAGGUGGGCUGGGAGACCUGAGCUGCAGAGCCAGCUGGGAUGGGCUGGGGAAAGUCUCCACUGCCCUAGAACAUACUGGGCAUCUGCAGUGCUUGGGCUGUAGGAAAUCUCCAUUUUUAUCUGGAUGGAGAAAAGUUACAGGAGACACAAUUGGGCAAGGUGUGGAGGAAGGGACCACUUUGUCCUCCAUGGCCACAGUGACCAAUGGCAGAAAUCCUGGGCUGGACUAUCAGUGGCAGACAAGUGGAGCAGAGGUUUGCUGCAGAUCUCCAUGUGAGCUGGACCAGAGGGGCUGGUUGGGAGCAGCACCAUCCUGUAGAAAGCAUGUGCUCCCUCCUUCCCUACUGCCAGCCCAUCGUGAGUGGCAUCACCCCACUGUUACCCCAGCCACACAGACCACAAGCAAGCCUGGCACCAGAUAGAAACCACCUGGCUCUCCUCCCAUGCACCCGCUCUCCAAGGUGGGGGGAGAGGCACAGUCACUGAAUUACAAUUCUGGUGGCUCUGUGAAAGGGCCGAGUGCUGUGUACAGUAAGAGCAGAAAACUCCAUCCAGCUGCUUCCCUGCCUUUACCAUCAGAG